rnacentral:ncRNA from 1 species
CAGAGGGUGCAACUCCCGCCCGGGAACUGGUUCGCUCCACCCGGAAGCAAUCGAAGCGGCAGCAGAGGCAACGAAGCUGUCGGGGCUUUCGGUGGAGAGCGGUAUCUCAAGGGAAUGAAGCGGGACAAUGGGA